GUAUUUUGACACACCAGUAGAGAGGUUUUGGAAAAAAAAUCAGGUUCCUGUGAUUUUCAUCACAUUAAUCUAAGAGUGAGGGUUCAGCAGACAUGAGGAGGAGGCUAACACUGUGGACGAUGCUUUGUCAUAGCAGCUUUCUCUGGAGAGGACAAAACGUCUCAGAAGAGAUUUCUGCAAUUCACAUGCCCUGAGGCUGACUGCGGAGGUGGAGAACAUAUCCUAGGUGGCACAGACACAAUGAAUGGGUCAAACUUCAGCCUGAUAUAAAAAAAAU